UGCACCAUGAUCACUGUUGUUCCACC
rnacentral:piRNA from 1 species